UGGGGAAUCUUGGACAAUGGGGGCAACCCUGAUCCAGCGACGCCGCGUGGGUGACGAAGGCCUUCGGGUUGUAAAGCCCUUUUGCCGGGGACGAUGAUGACGGUACCCGGAGAAGAAGCACCGGCUAACUCCGUGCCAGCAGCCGCGGUAAGACGGAGGGUGCUAGCGUUGUUCGGAAUUACUGGGCGUAAAGGGCGCGUAGGCGGCUAUUCAAGUCGGGUGUGAAAGCCCGGGGCUCAACCCCGGAACG
rnacentral:rRNA from 1 species